rnacentral:rRNA from 1 species
GACGGAGGGGGCUAGCGUUGUUCGGAAUCACUGGGCGUAAAGGGCGCGUAGGCGGCCUUGCAAGUCGGUUGGUGAAAGCCCGGGGCUCAACCCCGGAGGUGCGGCCGAGACUGCAGGGCUGGAGGCCGGAAGAGGAGGGUGGAAUACCCAGUGUAGAGGUGAAAUUCGUAGAUAUUGGGUGGAACACCGGUGGCGAAGGCGACUUCCUGGCCUGUUCUUGACGCUGAGGCGCGAAAGCUAGGGGAGCAAACGGG